GAGCCGCUGGCCUCAGGGGCUCCUGUAUGCCUUCCCUCCUCUUCCACUGCUGCCAGCAGUAAUCAGAAAGAUACUGGAGGAGGAGGUCAUACUUCUGGCUCCUUACUGGUCCAGACGCCCCUGGUUUGCAGAUCUGGUGAACUUAUUGAUCACUCAACCAUGGAGAAUCCCAUUGCACAAGGUAGCUCUUCACCAAGGAGAAGUAACUCGCCUGGAACCUCAGUGGUUCCAGCUGACUGUGUGGCGGUUGAGCGGAGUGCUCUGAGGAGGCUGAAUAUUUCAGAUCAGGUCAUCCAGACCAUACUAUCAACCAAGAUCUACCAAGCCACAUGGAAGGUCUUCUGCCAGUGGUGUAUCAAGAAUAAAAUUUCCCCCACUUCAGCCUCUGUGGCCAAUAGUCUAGAUUUUUUACAAGAGGGCUUUGAAAAGGGGCUAUCAACUUACACAUUAUGAAGACAGGUGGCCGACCUUUCUUUAGUAUUGUUCUUACACAGGAAGGUUCCCUGUUUCAAAACCACACUAUUCGGAGGUUUCUGAAAGAGGCCACCAACCUUAGACCUCUGGUGGUUCAUAAAUUCCCUACUUGGGAUCUCCCCAAAAUUCUUAAGGUGUUAAUGACUGAACCGUUUGAACCGCUUAGAUCCAUGAAUUUACACCACCUGUCACUCAAGGUGGCUUUUCUUGUAGCCAUCACAUCGGCUAGGACGAUCUCAGAGAUGGCUGCCCUAUCAGUUAGGGAGAAUUUGUGUGUUUUCCGCCCGGAUAGAGUGGUGUUUCGGUUAGACCCGGCUUUCAUCCCCAAUAUUAACUCCAGAUUCCACAGGGCUCAAAAGCUAAUUCUUCCAAAUUUUUGCCCCAAUCCUUCCCAUAAUUUGGAAUGGGCAUGGCACUCCCUGGAUGUAUGUAGAGCCUUAAGGAUCUACAUCCAACGGAUUCGUCCUAUCUACAAGUCAGAGACACUGUUUGUGUCUUUCCAACCUAGCGCAUUAGGGUUAAAGGUGUCUUCAACAACUGUGGGCAGGUGGAUUCAGGCCUGCAUUGCCAAAGCUCAUCAGAGCAAGGCUCUUCUGGUGCCUUGAGGAGUGAUGGCUCACUCGACUAGAAGUGAAGCAACUACGGCGGCAUGGGCUACUCAGGCACCCAUUGAGGAGAUCUGCAGAGUGGCCACAUGGUCUUCACCAUCUCCCUUCCUUUGGCAUUACCACCUGGAUGUGUUUGCAUCAGCUGAUGCAGCUUUUGGCAGAAGGGUUCUACAAAGCGUGCAUGAGCACCAAUGUGAGUAGGACCAGACUCUUGCUGGCCAUGGGACAAGCAGGAACUGGUAUUACCCAAUCUAUCUGGACUCUCUACGCCACAGAAGAAAAGGAACAUUCUGGUAAUCCAAUGUUCAUUUUCUGAUUUAGAGAAAUGCUCAUGCUUUCUUACAGAAUCUCUCAAAAAUCAAUCCACAUACAAGUCUAUAAUUGUAGGGUCUUGUUCUAAAGAUUUAUAUAAAAAUUCAUGAUAAUUUGAUCUGCCAAACAUGCUAAAGUAAUACAGGUUUAUGUUUAGCACCACUUUCCAUGAACAGAAACCCUCUUGUCCAGAAAAAAAAAUGGGAACAAAAUCUGGAUCAAAAAUAUAUUCUUUAGCUGAGCUUUCCCAAGCUAAGACUAACCUUUGUACUUGUCAUGUUUAGUCUUUGAAUAAUUGGCCAAUAUUGAAAUGGUUAAUACAGAUAUGUGCAAAUGUACCUUGUUUGUGAAUUUCAGUUCAAUAUAACUGAUUUUUUUUAUUCUGUUUAGACACCAUUUUAAGUAGAAAUCAUGUCAUUACACAUAUUUUUAAAACACAGUUUAUUAAAAUGUUAAACCUUUACCACAUGAAUAACAUUGCCCUAUCUUUCCAUCGCACUGUCCAUAAGCAGAGAAUGAACAAAGUCAAAGAUUUUAUGUUGAGGGUGACACUGACCUUCCAUCAUAAUAAAAUAAUCUUUGCU